rnacentral:rRNA from 1 species
AUACGUAGGGUGCGAGCGUUAAUCGGAAUUACUGGGCGUAAAGCGUGCGCAGGCGGUUUUGUAAGACAGUGGUGAAAUCCCCGGGCUCAACCUGGGAACUGCCAUUGUGACUGCAAGGCUGGAGUGCGGCAGAGGGGGAUGGAAUUCCGCGUGUAGCAGUGAAAUGCGUAGAUAUGCGGAGGAACACCGAUGGCGAAGGCAAUCCCCUGGGCCUGCACUGACGCUCAUGCACGAAAGCGUGGGGAGCAAACAGGAUUAGAUACCCUGGUAGUCCACGCCCUAAACGAUGUCAACUGGUUGUUGGGAAUUUAUUUUCUCAGUAACGAAGCUAACGCGUGAAGUUGACCGCCUGGGGAGUACGGCCGCAAGAUUAAAACUCAAAUGAAUUGACGGGG